CAGCAGCCACGGGAAUACAGAGGGUGCGAGCGUUAAUCGGAUUUACUGGGCGUAAAGCGUGCGUAGGCGGCUUCUUAAGUCGGAUGUGAAAUCCCUGAGCUUAACUUAGGAAUUGCAUUCGAUACUGGGAAGCUAGAGUAUGGGAGAGGAUGGUAGAAUUCCAGGUGUAGCGGUGAAAUGCGUAGAGAUCUGGAGGAAUACCGAUGGCGAAGGCAGCCAUCUGGCCUAAUACUGACGCUGAGGUACGAAAGCAUGGGGAGCAAACAGGAUUAGAUACCCCUGUAGUCCCUGUCUCUUAUAU
rnacentral:rRNA from 1 species